GGGCGGCGAGCGGCGGACGGGUGAGUAAUGCCUGGGAAUAUGCCCUGAUGUGGGGGAUAACCAUUGGAAACGAUGGCUAAUACCGCAUAAUCUCUUCGGAGCAAAGAGGGGGACCUUCGGGCCUCUCGCGUCAGGAUUAGCCCAGGUGGGAUUAGCUAGUUGGUGGGGUAACGGCUCACCAAGGCGACGAUCCCUAGCUGGUCUGAGAGGAUGAUCAGCCACACUGGAACUGAGACACGGUCCAGACUCCUACGGGAGGCAGCAGUGGGGAAUAUUGCACAAUGGGGGAAACCCUGAUGCAGCCAUGCCGCGUGUGUGAAGAAGGCCUUCGGGUUGUAAAGCACUUUCAGUCGUGAGGAAGGGUGUGCAGUUAAUAGCUGUCCAUUUUGACGUUAGCGACAGAAGAAGCACCGGCUAACUCCGUGCCAGCAGCCGCGGUAAUACGGAGGGUGCGAGCGUUAAUCGGAAUUACUGGGCGUAAAGCGCAUGCAGGCGGUCUGUUAAGCAAGAUGUGAAAGCCCGGGGCUCAACCUCGGAACAGCAUUUUGAACUGGCAGACUAGAGUCUUGUAGAGGGGGGUAGAAUUUCAGGUGUAGCGGUGAAAUGCGUAGAGAUCUGAAGGAAUACCGGUGGCGAAGGCGGCCCCCUGGACAAAGACUGACGCUCAGAUGCGAAAGCGUGGGGAGCAAACAGGAUUAGAUACCCUGGUAGUCCACGCCGUAAACGAUGUCUACUUGGAGGUUGUGGCCUUGAGCCGUGGCUUUCGGAGCUAACGCGUUAAGUAGACCGCCUGGGGAGUACGGUCGCAAGAUUAAAACUCAAAUGAAUUGACGGGGGCCCGCACAAGCGGUGGAGCAUGUGGUUUAAUUCGAUGCAACGCGAAGAACCUUACCUACUCUUGACAUCCAGAGAACUUUCCAGAGAUGGAUUGGUGCCUUCGGGAACUCUGAGACAGGUGCUGCAUGGCUGUCGUCAGCUCGUGUUGUGAAAUGUUGGGUUAAGUCCCGCAACGAGCGCAACCCUUAUCCUUGUUUGCCAGCACUUCAUGGUGGGAAACUCCAGGGAAAACUGCCGG
rnacentral:rRNA from 1 species